rnacentral:rRNA from 1 species
GAUGAACGCUGGCGGCGUGCCUAAUACAUGCAAGUCGAGCGAACAGACGAGGAGCUUGCUCCUCUGACGUUAGCGGCGGACGGGUGAGUAACACGUGGAUAACCUACCUAUAAGACUGGGAUAACUUCGGGAAACCGGAGCUAAUACCGGAUAAUAUAUUGAACCGCAUGGUUCAAUAGUGAAAGACGGUUUUGCUGUCACUGAUAGAUGGAUCCGCGCCGCAUUAGCUAGUUGGUAAGGUAACGGCUUACCAAGGCAACGAUGCGUAGCCGACCUGAGAGGGUGAUCGGCCACACUGGAACUGAGACACGGUCCAGACUCCUACGGUAGGCAGCAGUAGGGAAUCUUCCGCAAUGGGCGAAAGCCUGACGGAGCAACGCCGCGUGAGUGAUGAAGGUCUUCGGAUCGUAAAACUCCGUUAUUAGGGAAGAACAAAUGUGUAAGUAACUAUGCACGUCUUGACGGUACCUAAUCAGAAAGCCACGGCUAACUACGUG